rnacentral:rRNA from 1 species
GAUGAACGCUGGCGGCGUGCCUAAUACAUGCAAGUCGAGCGAACAGAUGAGGAGCUUGCUCCUCUGACGUUAGCGGCGGACGGGUGAGUAACACGUGGAUAACCUACCUAUAAGACUGGGAUAACUUCGGGAAACCGGAGCUAAUACCGGGUAAUAUAUUGAACCGCAUGGUUCAAUAGUGAAAGACGGUUUUGCUGUCACUUAUAGAUGGAUCCGCGCCGCAUUAGCUAGUUGGUAAGGUAACGGCUUACCAAGGCAACGAUGCGCAGCCGACCUGAGAGGGUGAUCGGCCACACUGGAACUGAGACACGGUCCAGACUCCUACGGGAGGCAGCAGUAGGGAAUCUUCCGCAAUGGGCGAAAGCCUGACGGAGCAACGCCGCGUGAGUGAUGAAGGUCUUCGGAUCGUAAAACUCUGUUAUUAGGGAAGAACAAAUGUGUAAGUAACUAUGCACGUCUUGACGGUACCUAAUCAGAAAGCCACGGCUAACUACGUG